rnacentral:tRNA from 1 species
GGGGGUGUAGCUCAGUUGGUAGAGCGCUUGAAUGGCAUUCAAGAGGNNGGAGUUCAAUUCUCCUCACCUCCACAA